UACUGGUUAUCUCCUUCACUGUGAUGUAAGCUGCCUGGCAACCGCUUCCUUUACCCCUCCAUUCCUGUACCUAUAACAGCAACUGGUACAUAGUAAGAACUCAAUAAAAGCUGUACAUGAGUGACUGUACACAAAGUUACUAUGGAGCACCUUCAAGCCAAACGACCCUGACACUAAAGGAAUCUUCAGGUGACUGUAAGCAAUGCAAAACUGAUCAGAGAAGAUUCUCACCUUAGCAGAAUCACCUAUCAACUGUACCGAGGGAGGCCUUGAGAGGCCGUGAGAAUGAGUGUGUGGACAAGGGACUCUCUAAGAGGAACUCAGCUCCAGGUAGGAGGAUGUUUUGCUGUGCAGAGCUGAACUGUCAAUCCUUAUGGAGAGAAGGAACUUCCUUAUCAAGCCUGACAAUGUCCAAUCUAUGAGCGGACUGAAAAGACUUGCUCUCCAGGAAUCCUCCAGGACUUCAGCACCAGACUGGAGCAGCAGAGGCAUCCAGCCUCAUGUUCCGGGCAGCUGCUGGGUUCUCAGACAUCAUAGCAUGGAGACAGUCAUUGUCAGGCUAGCCCAGCUACAUUAGAUGUCUUCUGACACCUAUUGCAAUCGUGCAGAAGGAUGCUGAUGGAUGCCACACUCUGCUGACUCUGCAGCUUUGCUUGUUCAGAACAUGCCCUUGAGUUCCCUCUGUCCUGCCUGUUGAUAGAUUAACCUCUACCCAGAAUAUCCUCCAACGACAUCAGUGCCUAGAUAAAUCUACAUGUGUUACCAGUGCAAGAACACUACCAACAGGAAGUCUGCUACUAACUGACUGGGAAGAUUCCAGUCCAUCACCAUCUUCUAGGAGAGUGCUACUCAGUCUAAUUUUUAUUUGGAAGACUUCCUUCACAGUUAAAUCUAGCUUGAAACCAAGACCUCCAGGGCUUAGGAAACCCUGGAGAUAGAUAUGGGCUGGAAAAGCUGUCCUUUACCUCUUCCCCCUCCUUGUCCUCUCUUCUCACACCCAUUUCCUUUCACACAAAGCAAGUGCUUUGCCAAUGUCAAAACCGACUAACUGGUGAAACUCAGAAAUAAGGCAUUUGGAUAACGUUUUUAAAGUUGAACAUCUGAAUCCCAGUCUGUGAAAAUGCACUGAAGUUUAUGAAAGGAUGACUUGAUUUUGUCCUCUCUCCCACCCCAUCCCUUUAGCUUUCAACCUGGAUUUGAUGGCUCUCCAUCACAUUAGCUUGAAGAGGGCCUCUGUUAAUGCACUUAAAUCUUGACCUAGAGACCCCAGUGGGUGUAUAAUUCCCUGUUGAGCUGUGGCUGGAGUACCACGUGGGGAAGACUUGGCCUCAGCAUACAUUGGGAACAAAGCUUGUGACACCAGACACCCUAGCCAGGGUAAUUUUAGCUGGUCUCUUGAAGUGGAUAGCAGGUCUGUUUGGAAAUCUGCGUCAAUUCUCUGUUUUCCUCUUAAAAAUCUCUCUGCUCUCCUUUCCGCUUUAAGUGCAACACUAUUUCUGGAUUUUCUAUUUUAAAUAAUCAGCAACAGAGACAACACACACACACACACACACACACACACACACACACACACACACACACUUCUAUAGUGAGCCCAUGCCUAUUGAACCUCACCAGAGUUGCCAACUCACAAAGGAACCUUCAAAAUAACUUUUAUGUAGGGACCUUGGCUUGUGUGUGCUGACAGUUACACAUUCCAGCUUGUCAUUUGUCCCCGACUUGCUGUCCUGAAUGCCCCCAUAGAGUUAUGCCGCUUAUCACCUGCUUAGUAUGUGACACUUCAUCUGCCAGGACAAAUGUCAUUUUAGAAAAGCCUUCCAGUGAAUGGGGACAAUCAAAGAUUGCAACACAAAAAUCCAGGCCUUUUGUGGGGGACACAUCCCUUCUUUUCUAAUUCUGCUCUCCAGAUCUUGCCUGCUGCUCCCACUGGGUGCAAGCAAAGCAUCUAAUACUGUGUUCUGACUGGUAAGACAAACUGUCCUAUUCGGCUUUUUUUUUUUCCUCUUGUCUUUUCUUUUUCUUCCUUUCUCCCUUUUGUCUUUUCUUCCUUUCACUUUAUUUUAUUUUUUUAAAAGACUUCUCAUGUAGCCUAGGCUGGCCUCAAACUUGCUAUGUAGCCAGGGAUGACACUGAACUUCUCAGUCUCCUACCUUCUCUUCCGGGGUGCUGAAACUAAAGGUAUGCAUCACCACACCCAGUCUUCUCUGUUUUGUUUUGUUUGCUUUGUUUUGUUUUGCUUUAAGGCAGUGUCUCACUAUAUAGCUUUGGUUUGGCCUGAAACUCACUAUGUAGACUUGGAACUCAUAAAGAUCCUCCUGCCUUAGCCUCCCAAGGGCUGGGAUUACUGGCAUGACCACUAGCUAAACUUCAAACAGUCCUUGAAACUUAAAAGCCCUGACAGUAAAUUUUUCAAAAAGUGACAGUGGGAACCAAUGAGAUGGCUCAUGAGGUAAUGAUGCACAUCAAGCCUGGUGAUUUGAAUUCUAUCCCAAGGAACCACACAGUAGAACCAACUUCUGAAAGCUGUUCGCCAAUUUCUACACACUCCAUGCACUCACUCCUUAUAGCCUGCAACCUCCCCAAAUAAAUGAAUUAAAUACCAAUGAUUAAAAACAAAUGUUCUCAAAUGUUAUAGGGCUGCAAAGAUGAGCUCUCGAGCUAUUCAAAGCACUUCUGUAGACUUCUCACAAACGUAGUAUUUUUUUUUUAAUUAAAUGAGCUAAGAUCAUUUGGAAGUGAGAAACUAGCGCCUGUAGUUAUGGCCAGAAAUAGAGCACAAGCCCUGGAGUGCCUUAAUGGCAGAAUGAUAUGGUCCUAAACUGCUUCUGCUGAUGUAUUUCAGGGCUGGGCAACAGCCUUAUGUUUAUCCACACCUGAAAAGUUGCUCAGAACCUGUUUGUAAAGGUGAAGGCCUUUGUCCUUUCUCUUUGGUAAAAAUCUCAAAUGUCAUUAGUGUCAUGAGAGACAUGAAUUUGACUCUCAAUGUCAAUAGUCCUUCCCAUGUCUCAGAAGUGAAUUUGGGGGUGUCAAGAUUAUCUUGUGAUCUAUUUCCAUACAUACUUAGACUCCCAUGGGUCUCAAUCAUCUAUACCUUUUCUUUCCAAAAGGCAGAAACUGCAGCACAAAAUCCCAUCUAACAUGAGGAUUUUUGUUUGUUUGUUUGUUUGUUUGUUUGUUUGUUUUAACAGCUUUAGUUCUCAAAGAUGUAUCUUCUCUGUCCAUGGAGGAGGAAGCCAUUGAGUUCACAAAACCAAGUCAAAUCCAUGGAUGUAAAUCUUCACUACAAUCUGAAACAGCAAAUCUGAUCGUGUUACUCUCCUGCUCAGAAUGCUUCAAAGAUUCUCCAAACAUUUUAUGUUCAACCCCAAAUUAUACAGCUGAGUUUCCCAGACUCUUUUUGACUUACCCUUGCCCAAUUCCCCACCCCCACCCCCUCCAUGUCUGUGUUCUUGCCAGACAGAAGCAAUUUUGAUUUCACACUCUGUUUGCAGAGCUUGUCCCCGCCUCCCUUCUGCACCUGGUCAGUUCCUACUGUCCCUUCAGGAUCUCACCUGCCCUUCUGUCAUGCCUUACUCUCUAAUGUGUUCAGGCUGGGAUGUAGCUCAGGGGCAGAGCGCUUGUCUAACAUACUCAGGGCCCUGGGUUUGAUCCCAGCACCCCAAAGGAAAACAAUUAAACCCUGUUUUCUUUCCACAUAACUUGUAUCUACAACCCCCUC